GUCAACGGCCAUACCACGUAGAAAAAAACCCGGUCUCGUCAGCUCCGGCCGUUAAGCUGCGUCGGGUCCCGUUAAGUACUUAGGAGGGUGACCACUUGGGAAUACGGGAUGCUGUUGGCA
rnacentral:rRNA from 1 species